GAGAGAGAGAGAGACAGACAGACUGACUGAGACUGGCGCAUGCGCGCUUGCGGGCUUCUCUUCGCUCGCCCGCCCUGCUCUUUCGGCGCCGACGCUGCGGCGGUUCGUCGUCUUCCGCCCGGCCAGGGGCAGAAGCGGGAGGCGGCUCAGGGCAGGGAAACUGCUGCAACAGGAAAAUAGAGAUCUGCAUUGCUUUCCACUGGAUCCUGCCUCCACCCAUUCUUCUCUGACUGAUCAUGGACUUAGGGGACUCAUCAAGUCCCUUUGGGGAGUUAGGUAGCAAAAGCCAACCCCCCAUUUUUUCUACAACGAAAAUAAAUAAAAAUACUUAACUGACCAGUUGCAUAGGAGAUAGCGUGGUUCUGCCACCCAGCAUAAAUCCUGGCUACUCCCAUGCCCCCAGCUACAAUUAAAGCCAAGGGGGGAAUGUUUGAGUGCACACAUGGCACUAUUACAUGUGCUGCAUGAUUCCCGUUUCCCACAUUUGUAUGUUUAGUGUGGCAGCGGCUGCACUCUGGAACUCCCUGCCUGCUGACAUUAUGCAGGUGCCAAAGUCGGGGUCAUUUUAAUCUGUAUGAGUAUUUUUAACUUUUGUAUGUCUUAAAGUAGGGUUGUGGGUUUUAUUAUUUUAUUUUACUGUAUUCCUGCAUUGCAGAGGGUUGGACUAGAUGACUUUCGUGGUAUCUUCCAACUCAACAAUUCUAUGGUUCUAUGUUGUAUCUUUUUAGUAAACGGCUUUGAGGUUUCCUUACAAUCAAGUGGUGUUCAAAUUUUAUGAAAUAAAUAAAAAACAACAACAAUAAACAUUCCACCUGCUUCUAAAAGGCCACAGAUAAUUAUUCAAGGCCAAAGGCCUGGUUACAAUGGAAGUAUUCAAUUGUAAAUUAGGGGUUAAUAAAUUCUGGUUGCUUCAUG